rnacentral:rRNA from 1 species
AGAGUUUGAUCCUGGCUCAGGACGAACGCUGGCGGCGUGCCUAAUACAUGCAAGUCGAGCGGACAGAUGGGAGCUUGCUCCCUGAUGUUAGCGGCGGACGGGUGAGUAACACGUGGGUAACCUGCCUGUAAGACUGGGAUAACUCCGGGAAACCGGGGCUAAUACCGGAUGGUUGUUUGAACCGCAUGGUUCAAACAUAAAAGGUGGCUUCGGCUACCACUUACAGAUGGACCCGCGGCGCAUUAGCUAGUUGGUGAGGUAACGGCUCACCAAGGCGACGAUGCGUAGCCGACCUGAGAGGGUGAUCGGCCACACUGGGACUGAGACACGGCCCAGACUCCUACGGGAGGCAGCAGUAGGGAAUCUUCCGCAAUGGACGAAAGUCUGACGGAGCAACGCCGCGUGAGUGAUGAAGGUUUUCGGAUCGUAAAGCUCUGUUGUUAGGGAAGAACAAGUACCGUUCGAAUAGGGCGGUACCUUGACGGUACCUAACCAGAAAGCCACGGCUAACUACGUGCCAGCAGCCGCGGUAAUACGUAGGUGGCAAGCGUUGUCCGGAAUUAUUGGGCGUAAAGGGCUCGCAGGCGGUUUCUUAAGUCUGAUGUGAAAGCCCCCGGCUCAACCGGGGAGGGUCAUUGGAAACUGGGGAACUUGAGUGCAGAAGAGGAGAGUGGAAUUCCACGUGUAGCGGUGAAAUGCGUAGAGAUGUGGAGGAACACCAGUGGCGAAGGCGACUCUCUGGUCUGUAACUGACGCUGAGGAGCGAAAGCGUGGGGAGCGAACAGGAUUAGAUACCCUGGUAGUCCACGCCGUAAACGAUGAGUGCUAAGUGUUAGGGGGUUUCCGCCCCUUAGUGCUGCAGCUAACGCAUUAAGCACUCCGCCUGGGGAGUACGGUCGCAAGACUGAAACUCAAAGGAAUUGACGGGGGCCCGCACAAGCGGUGGAGCAUGUGGUUUAAUUCGAAGCAACGCGAAGAACCUUACCAGGUCUUGACAUCCUCUGACAAUCCUAGAGAUAGGACGUCCCCUUCGGGGGCAGAGUGACAGGUGGUGCCUGGUUGUCGUCAGCUCGUGUCGUGAGAUGUUGGGUUAAGUCCCGCAACGAGCGCAACCCUCGAUCUUAGUUGCCAGCAUUCAGUUGGGCACUCUAAGGUGACUGCCGGUGACAAACCGGAGGAAGGUGGGGAUGACGUCAAAUCAUCAUGCCCCUUAUGACCUGGGCUACACACGUGCUACAAU